rnacentral:rRNA from 1 species
UACGGGGGGAGCAAGCGUUGUUCGGAUUUACUGGGCGUAAAGGGCGCGUAGGCGGUCGUGACAAGUCACUUGUGAAAUCUCCGGGCUUAACUCGGAACGGUCAAGUGAUACUGUCGGACUAGAGUACAGAAGGGGCAACUGGAAUUCUCGGUGUAGCGGUGAAAUGCGUAGAUAUCGGAAGGAACAUCAGAGGCGAAGGCGGCCACCUGGACGGACAUUGACGCUGAGAAGCGAAAGCGUGGGGAGCAAACAGG